UCCCGCUUAACACGGGCAGUGGGAUGUCAAGACCUGGUAAGGUUCUUCGCGUUGCUUCGAAUUAAACCACAUGCUCCACCGCUUGUGCGGGCCCCCGUCAAUUCCUUUGAGUUUCAGUCUUGCGACCGUACUCCCCAGGCGGAGUGCUUAAUGCGUUAGCUGCAGCACUAAAGGGCGGAAACCCUCUAACACUUAGCACUCAUCGUUUACGGCGUGGACUAC
rnacentral:misc_RNA from 1 species